UCCAUGUUCUGAAAGAGAGGGACCUCCAGU
rnacentral:piRNA from 1 species